rnacentral:rRNA from 1 species
CCACACCUAAAAAACUUUCCACGUGAACCGUAACAAACCAAUAGUUGGGGGCGAGUUUGGCGGCUACUGCUGCUGGACGAGCUCUAUCAUGGCGAGCGUUUGGACUUCGGUCUGAACUAGUAGCCCUUCUUUUAAACCCAUUCCUAAUUACUGAUUAUACUGUGGGGACGAAAGUCUCUGCUUUUAACUAGAUAGCAACUUUCAGCAGUGGAUGUCUAGGCUCGCACAUCGAUGAAGAACGCUGCGAACUGCGAUACGUAAUGCGAAUUGCAGGAUUCAGUGAGUCAUCGAAAUUUUGAACGCAUAUUGCACUUCCGGGUUAGUCCUGGGAGUAUGCCUGUAUCAGUGUCCGUACAACAAACUUGGCUUUCUUCCUUCCGUGUAGUCGGUGGAAGAGAUGCCAGAUGUGAAGUGUCUUGCGGCUGGUUCUCGAACUGGCUGCGAGUCCUUUGAAAUGUACUGAACUGUACUUCUCUUUGCUCGAAAAGCAUGGCGUUGCUGGUUGUGGAGGCUGCCUGUGUGGCAUGUCGGCGACCGGUCUGUCUGCUGCAGCGUUAAUGGAGGCGUGUUCGAUUCGCGGUAUGGUUGGCUUCGGCUGAACAAUGCGCUUAUUGUAUGUGUUUCCUGUUGUGGCGGUAAUGGCUGGUGUACCGUAGCUAUGUGGUGCUUGGCUUUUGAAUCGGCUUUGCUGUUGUGAAGUAGAGUGGCGGCUUCGGCUGUCGAGGGUCGAUCCAUUUGGGAAAUUUGUGUGUGCCUUUAUUGGCGUGCAUCUCAA